CGGCAAGAGCUCAAAUUUGAAAGCUGGCUCCUUCGGAGUCCGCAUUGUAAUUUGCAGAGGAUGCUUUGGGUGCGGCCCCCGUCUAAGUGCCCUGGAACGGGCCGUCAGAGAGGGUGAGAAUCCCGUCUUGGGCGGGGUGUCCGUGCCCGUGUAAAGCUCCUUCGAC
rnacentral:rRNA from 1 species